rnacentral:rRNA from 1 species
UACAGAGGCCACGAGCGUUAGGCGGAAUCACUGGGCUUAAAGCGUGUGUAGGUGGAUGGCUAAGUACCUUGUGAAAUCCCACGGCUCAACCGUGGAACUGCUCGGUAUACUGGUCGUCUUGAGGCACUCAGGGGCGAGCGGAACAGAUGGUGGAGCGGUGAAAUGCGUAGAUAUCAGGAGGAACACCGAUGGCGAAGGCAGGUCUCUGGGCCACUACUGACGC